GACGAACGCUGGCGGCGUGCCUAAUACAUGCAAGUCGAGCGAACUUGCGGGAGCUUGCUCCCAAAAGUUAGCGGCGGACGGGUGAGUAACACGUGGGCAACCUACCUAUAAGACUGGGAUAACUUCGGGAAACCGGAGCUAAUACCGGAUGACACAAAGGAACUCCUGUUCCUUUGUUGAAAGAUGGCUUCGGCUAUCACUUAUAGAUGGGCCCGCGGCGCAUUAGCUAGUUGGUGAGGUAACGGCUCACCAAGGCAACGAUGCGUAGCCGACCUGAGAGGGUGAUCGGCCACACUGGGACUGAGACACGGCCCAGACUCCUACGGGUGGCAG
rnacentral:rRNA from 1 species